CUUCUCUUAUCCUUCCAGCCGCCGCACCUCACGCGCGAGUCCGAAGGCGCAACGCGCACUACACACACCGCCUAGGUGCCCCUUCCCCGGCGUCUUUGUGAUGCUCGACGCCACCGCCCGACCCUCUGCCGCGGCAGGCAGCCGAUGCCUUUCCCCCAAGCGCUGCCUCGGCGCCCCUCUCCUGGUCUCGGUAGGAUUCUUGAUUGUGCCUCCAUCAUCUCUGUGAACGGCCGUCGCUAUUGUGCGUUCCUCUCGUGGUUAAAAUAAUUGUACAUCUUCUCUGCCUAUUUGGUAUGUAAGUAGUGUGUUUUCCUCUUCUGGUUGAUAUGCAAGUAAUGCGUGCCCAUUGGAAGUUAAUGUCAUAUAGGAAAGAGGGAAGCACCACAAUGAACUGCAGCCGAGUUCGAGGAAUAAUUGUUCUUAUAAUGCAAUUUGGGCUCUGUUAAUUGGUGAAUUCUAUUUUAGAAGUCCACUUUUAUAGGGAAAAAGGGUGCUGUUCAAAGAAUUAGGUAGCUUGCCUGAAUUCUUCUUGUGGGAGUUGUGCAGAAUCCAGGACAAUUUGUCUCCCCAUAACCACUUUGGUGUCCUGUUAUGGAACAAGUUAUACAUCACUCUGCUGGCUUAGUAAAUAGAAAACCCCGACAAGACCCUCUUUAUGGUAUCUCUAAUUCAAAUCCACGCUCAAGAAGGAAUACAGGUAGAGCUACUGUUGACUUCCUCUAUAUAUGUGUAUUGCAGGAACAUUAGUACUGUUUAAAUUUUGUUCUGUUAACGAAAAUAGUUCAAACUAUGUGUAUGGGAUGUCCCAACAGUGCAAAGAUGUGUAUGACCUGUGUAUAUCUCUAGAUAUCUCUUCGAGUUCGAUUACAAAACAUGCUGAUGUACUAAAGUGCUAUGGGCGUUUUUGAAAGUGGUUUAUGGAAGAAAAUAAUUUCAAUGGAAGUAUGCUAUAUUUGUGUACAAGUUUUAGAGUGGUUGGGCUUUUUUAGAACCGUUCGUUGAUGUCGAUCUAACGGCAGACAAAUACGAAGUACUGGGUAGUACUUCGAUGAAAGUACGCGAAAGUACUAAAACGAGUGGGGCCGGUACUCGUGACAAGGUGGGGACGCGUUUUAAUCUAGGGGCAGUUUAGUCCUAGGAAAAUUUGCACGCGCCGCCCCUCUCGUCAAAUGAAUAACCGCCGCCAUGGUGCUACACAUUCCACAAUUACUCAUCGGCGGCCAUCUCCUCCCUCUCCUCCAUGUCCACCGCAGUCAUCUCCUCCUUCUUGCCGCUGCAACU